rnacentral:rRNA from 1 species
UACGUAGGGUGCAAGCGUUAAUCGGAAUUACUGGGCGUAAAGCGCACGUAGGCGGCUUUGCAAGUCAGAGGUGAAAGCCCGGGGCUCAACCCCCGGAAUUGCCUUUGAGACUGCAUCGCUAGAAUUGUGGAGAGGUAAGUGGAAUUCCGAGUGUAGAGGUGAAAUUCGUAGAUAUUCGGAAGAACACCAGUGGCGAAGGCGACUUACUGGACACA